rnacentral:rRNA from 1 species
AUUGAACGCUGGCGGCAUGCCUUACACAUGCAAGUCGAACGGUAGAGGGCUUCGGCCCUUGAGAGUGGCGAACGGGUGAGUAAAGCAUCGGAACGUACCCUGUCGAGGGGGAUAACGUAGCGAAAGUUACGCUAAUACCGCAUAAGACCUGAGGGUGAAAGUGGGGGACGUGGAAACGGCCUCACGCGAUGGGAGCGGCCGAUGUCGGAUUAGCUAGUUGGUGGGGUAAAGGCCUACCAAGGCGACGAUCCGUAGCGGGUCUGAGAGGACGAUCAGCCACACUGGGACUGAGACACGGCCCAGACUCCUACGGGAGGCAGCAGUGGGGAAUAUUGGACAAUGGGCGCAAGCCUGAUCCAGCAAUACCGCGUGUGUGAAGAAGGCCUUAGGGUUGUAAAGCACUUUCAAUGGGGAGGGAAAAACCUAGCCGGUCAAUACCCGGUAGCUUGACAUUACCUAUAGAAGAAGCACCGGCUAACUCCGUGCCAGCAGCCGCGGUAAU